rnacentral:sRNA from 1 species
GGAUGUCAGGGUUAUAUAGCUAUGACUUCUGUUGCCCCAUGGUGAUGGUUGAAUCUGCUGAUCUGAUUGGAUAUGUGAAAGUCGCCUCCCUCAUUCACUGCUUUGUAUGUAUCACUCCGCAGCUGCAAGCUCAGAGGACAGGAGGACAUUCCCAGAUGUGGAGGUGUGGAUCUUCAACCAAGUGUUUAUGUGCCUGUACUCAACACUACAACUCCCAAACAAACUUUCAAAAUACUUCUUCCACAUCUCUGCUCUGUUAGUUU